GAUGGACGCUGGCGGCGUGCCUAAUACAUGCAAGUCGAGCGAAUGGAUUAAGAGCUUGCUCUUAUGAAGUUAGCGGCGGACGGGUGAGUAACACGUGGGUAACCUGCCCAUAAGACUGGGAUAACUCCGGGAAACCGGGGCUAAUACCGGCUAACAUUUUGAACCGCAUGGUUCGAAAUUGAAAGGCGGCUUCGGCUGUCACUUAUGGAUGGACCCGCGUCGCAUUAGCUAGUUGGUGAGGUAAAGGCUCACCAAGGCAACGAUGCGUAGCCGACCUGAGAGGGUGAUCGGCCACACUGGGACUGAGACACGGCCCAGACUCCUACGGGAGGCAGCAGUAGGGAAUCUUCCGCAAUGGACGAAAGUCUGACGGAGCAACGCCGCGUGAGUGAUGAAGGCUUUCGGGUCGUAAAACUCUGUUGUUAGGGAAGAACAAGUGCUAGUUGAAUAAGCUGGCACCUUGACGGUACCUAACCAGAAAGCCACGGCUAACUACGUGCCAGCCGCCGCCGUAA
rnacentral:rRNA from 1 species